rnacentral:rRNA from 1 species
AUUGAACGCUGGCGGCAGGCCUGACACAUGCAAGUCGAACGGUAACAGGAAGAAGCUUGCUUCUUUGCUGACGAGUGGCGGACGGGUGAGUAAUGUCUGGGAAACUGCCUGAUGGAGGGGGAUAACUACUGGAAACGGUAGCUAAUACCGCAUAACGUCGCAAGACCAAAGAGGGGGACCUUCGGGCCUCUUGCCAUCGGAUGUGCCCAGAUGGGAUUAGCUAGUAGGUGGGGUAACGGCUCACCUAGGCGACGAUCCCUAGCUGGUCUGAGAGGAUGACCAGCCACACUGGAACUGAGACACGGUCCAGACUCCUACGGGAGGCAGCAGUGGGGAAUAUUGCACAAUGGGCGCAAGCCUGAUGCAGCCAUGCCGCGUGUAUGAAGAAGGCCUUCGGGUUGUAAAGUACUUUCAGCGGGGAGGAAGGGAGUAAAGUUAAUACCUUUGCUCAUUGACGUUACCCGCAGAAGAAGCACCGGCUAACUCCGUG